ACAUCUUAGCAACUCCUCUUUUCC
rnacentral:siRNA from 1 species